rnacentral:rRNA from 1 species
CCUACGGGAGGCAGCAGUGGGGAAUAUUGCACAAUGGGCGCAAGCCUGAUGCAGCAACGCCGCGUGAGGGACGACGGCCUUCGGGUUGUAAACCUCUUUUAGUAGGGAAGAAGCGAAAGUGACGGUACCUGCAGAAAAAGCACCGGCUAACUACGUGCCAGCAGCCGCGGUAAUACGUAGGGUGCAAGCGUUGUCCGGAAUUAUUGGGCGUAAAGAGCUCGUAGGCGGUUUGUCGCGUCUGCUGUGAAAACCCGAGGCUCAACCUCGGGCCUGCAGUGGGUACGGGCAGACUAGAGUGCGGUAGGGGAGAUUGGAAUUCCUGGUGUAGCGGUGGAAUGCGCAGAUAUCAGGAGGAACACCGAUGGCGAAGGCAGAUCUCUGGGCCGUAACUGACGCUGAGGAGCGAAAGCAUGGGGAGCGAACGGGAUUAGAUACCCUGGUAGUCCAUGACGUAACGUACGGUAACGUAGAGUAGUAGGUACGACUACCUACGUUCGUUGUGUCGUCGNGCUACGACAUACGUUCCCGUCCGUCGGGUAGGUACGGCCGCGACGACGUAAACGUACGUAAGUAGUAAGUUAGUUACGGUCGUUGAGACGUUGCCGACGGACGACGACGAGGGAGGAGG